rnacentral:rRNA from 1 species
AGCUCUAAUAGCGUAUAUUAAUGUUGUUGCGGUUAAAAAGCUCGUGGUUGAAAGUGAAGGGUAAAACUGGAUCUGGGGAAACCCAUUUGCAGUUAUUAGCGCGUUUUAAGGUAUUCGGUUUACUUGGCUUAAUUGUCAAAUAAGCUUAACGGAUGCCUUGUAGCUACUCUGAUAAAAUCAGAGUGCUUAAAACAAGCAUAUUGCUUGUAUAUUUGUGCAUAGUAUAGCAAAUAUGACCUAAGAUAAUAAUGGUUGUGAUAAGCCGUGGUAAUGAUUAAAAGGGAUUGUCGGAGGCAUUUGUAUUUGAAAGUCAGAGGUGAAAUUCUUGGAUCGUUUAAAGACAAACUAGUGCGAAAGCAUUUGCCAAGUAUGUUUUCA